AGCCCGAUGGCGGAGGGUCCGUGCUCACUACUUUAAAUUCUUUCAUCCCGUCUAGCGGGAGAUCCCCGUUCGACUCGGGGUCGGGCUA